GGCCAACGGGACGCUCGUCUCGCCAGGAUCAGGACGAGGCCAUUGGAGGCUUCGACGCCACGCAAUCCUUCUGCGGGGAGUUCACAGACCUUCAGAUAUACAGUAAAAUGCUGGACGGCUUCGACAUGAAGGACAUCACCACCUGCGAGUCCCUGAUGGUGGGCGACGUCCUCAGCUGGAAGGACGCCAAGUUCGCCAUGAAUGGAGACUCGAGAGAAUCAGUCACGACCCUGAUGGCCACCUGCGACGGCCCGCUCCC